rnacentral:rRNA from 1 species
UACCAGCACCCCGAGUGGUCGGGACGUUUAUUGGGCCUAAAGCAUCCGUAGCCGGUUCUGCAAGUCUUCCGUUAAAUCCACCUGCUUAACAGAUGGGCCGCGGAAGAUACUAUAGAGCUAGGAGGCGGGAGAGGCAAGCGGUACUCGAUGGGUAGGGGUAAAAUCCGUUGAUCCAUUGAAGACCACCAGUGGCGAAGGCGGCUUGCCAGAACGCGCUCGACGGUGAGGGAUGAAAGCUGGGGGAGCAAACGGG